AGCCGUCCUGCGAGCAGAGAGAAGACCCGAACUAAGAACAAAUGGCUUGCUUCAGCCUUCUGUGAAAAAUAUCCUUCCCGCCACGGAAUGAUUCUGCAUUCCACUCAACACUCCAAGUUAUGGUCUGUGUACUCUGAAUCCCGGACUCAUUGUAUCGGUGCUGGCUCCCACGAUGGCAGAGACUCUGGUGUGGAACACCAGCAAGUCACAAAGGGAAAUGUUGAGAAUCGAGAAACCAGGGAAAGGAGUGAAACUGAACGAGCGAGCAACUCUAGGGAGCAAGAAGUACAUUCAGACACGUGAGAGAACAUCUGCUGUGGAAAUUUCUGAGAGCAGAGGCCAGAAAAUAUUGGCUAUUAACAUGUCAGUAGCUGUGAAUCAACAGGGAAAUGGGAAAGUACAGAAAAGCACCGACAUGGACUUGGCCGGAGGGUAAUGGUGACCCAGAGGAGAACUUAAUGAGCCCCCUGCCCCCACCGGAUCUGGUAGGAAGAGAUUGAAGGAUGCUCCAAGCUUUGUUAAUGGAGCAGGAGGUGGGACAUACUUCUAGAGGAAGGAGAUUUUGUGUAAUGGCAAGUGUCGGAUUUGGAGUUAGGAAGACCUAGGUUAGACUCAUGGCUUUGUCGCUUACUGGUUACACGACCACGGAUACGUUUUUAAUCUCUCCGAACCUCGGUUUCCUUAUCUGUAAAACUGGGCAAUAAUACCAACUCCUUAGGGAAUUAUGAGGAUUAAUUGAGACUGUGCCUAGCACAGCAAUGGCAAAUACGUGGCAUGAAUGCCACAUUUCCCUCAACUUGUGUCCGCGGCUGACCUCAAUCUAUCUUGUUACCUUUUUCCAAUUAAUGAAUAUAAAAUUGUCCACAUGGCAUUUCCACUUGGAUAUAAUGUGUGUCUCAAACCCAGCAUGCUCAAAAGCAUUCCGGUUUUUCUCUCCCAAGCCUGCUCAGUCCGUAGCCUUCAGCACCCUUGUUGGUAAUCACCUUUUCAGUUGCCAAAAACCCCGGAGCUGAUUCACCCCUUCCUCUGAUACCAUAUCAGGACAUCCUUGUGGCUUUACCUCCUAAAUAUAUCCAGAGUCCAGCCUCUUCUCCUUACCUCCACGGCUACCACCCUGGCGCAAAGCACCGGCAACUCUUGCUUGGCUUGUCACAGUGGCCUAAUUGGUAGUUGGCUUCUACUGCUGUCCCCUGGAGCCUAUUCUUAAGAGAGCAGUCAAAGGGAUACAUUAAACAAGUAAGCCAAAUCAUAUUACUGCUCUUCAAAAUGCUCUGAUGGUCCUCAGCCUCACAGAGUAGAAGGCAAAGUAUCUGUGAUGGUUCUCAGAGUCUUCGCAGACAUGGCCCCUAUUUCUUUAGUGAUCUUGUUUCCUGUUACUCUCCCCUCGCUCUGCUCCUUGGUGUUGGCCCUCCUUAGUGUUCUUUGAGCAUGCUGGGCACAGGGAAUGCCUAUGCUAGAUGGCUCUUCAUCCAAACAUCUACAUGGCUCACUUUUUCACCUCCAACAGGUCUUGGCUCAAAAGCUAUUUACUCAGAGGCCUGUUAUGAUCACCCCAUUUAGAAAUCACCCCUGUUCCCUGGCACUCCUGAUGCCAAGAGGCUCUGAGAAAGGAUUGACAUUGAACGUGGGGAGUAUGGUUAUUGCAGAGGAAGUCACGCUUGGUCUUCUGAAGAAUGGCAGAAGAACAUUGUCUCAACAAGUAUAGUGGAGCUCAAUAUGGGGUCUAUUCUCAGAUUUUUAACUGGAUGUCUCUCUUCUCUCCAGGGUCCUAGCUCUGCCUUGAUGAUCCUGGUCACCCUGAGUGAUUCUGCUUGUAGUGGGUUGAAUGAUGACACCCUCCCUUCCCUAUCCCUUGGCCAAAGAUAUCCCCCUGUCCUAAUUCCCAAAAUCUUCUUUGGAAAAGGGUCUUUGCAGAUGUAAUUAAGUGAGAUGAGGAGAUGAUUCUGGAUUAUCUGGAGGGGCCCUAAAUCCAAUGACAAGGGUCCUUGUAAGUGGAAAACAGAGAUAUUUGAGACAGAAGAGGAGAUCACACAGGGAAAGGAGGAUGCAGAGACUGGCGUGAUGCUGUCACAGACCAACAAACACCAAGGAAUGCCAACAACACCCAGAAGCUGGAAGAAGCAAAGAAUGGAUUGCCCUCUAGGGCCUCCAGAGGGAAGGUGUGGCCCUGCCCACACCUUGAUUUUGCAUGUAAGGCCUCUGGAAUUGUGAGAGAAUAAAAUUUCUGUUGUUUUAAGCCA